rnacentral:lncRNA from 1 species
GUUUCCAUGCAUACCCUCGUCUCACACUCUGACACAUCUUUCAGGGAUCCUCAGUCUCUGAUUCUUCUCCCCCUUCCUUUCGCCACAGCUCUCACUUCUCACCUUCUGCCCCCGACACCUCCACCCUCAGUCCAGACCUGCACAGAGCCCUCGGUCCGCUGUCCCCCCCACCUCCUCGUUCCCACUCCUAGCAGUAGCCCUCGGUCCGCUGUCCCCCCCACCUCCUCCUUCCCACUCCUAGCAGUCACCUCUCUCGCCAAAUACUCUGACCUCUCCCACCCGCUCUGCCUCUUCCAUCGUGUGGACGUCCCUUCCCGUGCUCUAUGCGCAAAUACACUCAAUGCUCCUUCCUUUCAGUCACCGUUUCCAUCUCCCUUAGCCCUACUCAGAAGUCUUAAGCUCAGGGACACCAUGCUUGCAAUCCACUCCCAACCAACUGAUAGUAACCACCUCCCCAGUCCCACCCCCAGCCCCCACCGUUCCAGGUGCCUUGUUGGCUACAUCCAUUUGCUCGCUGUCUGCCUGGUCCUGGGUCCUUUUCCUCCAAGUCUGACAGUCUGGACUCUGAUGCCUCCCUCUGCCCCACCCAGGGGCUCAUCUGCUCACCCUUCACCUCUCUGCCCAGCUCUCCACCUGCCCUCCCCCCCAGUGAUUCUCACCCGAGGAUGCAUGACCCCCAAGGCUGGCCUAUCAGCAGCAUCUCUGAGGAAUGUUUUUGUGUUUUCUUUUUGCAUGUUUUUGGGUUUGUUUUUGUUUGGAGCAGAGCGCUGCUCGCCCUCUGAUGUUCUGAUAGGCCUCCCUUGGGGUCCAUGCCCCAGCCCCCCCGCGGGUGAAAACCACCCCCCCCACCCCGGGGAAGAAUCACUGCUGUGGAGGGCCAGCCUGCCUCCCUGGGCUGCACUCUCCCCUUGCCAGCUCCUCAAAGAUCCCAGCUCUGCUGCCCUGACACUGGCCCGGCACUGUCCCCCUGGAACCCCCUCAUUCCCUUCCACGUUAGCUCCCUGA